CAUAACCGCCAGGGGUGCUAUUCGCUGAGAGCCCGGGGAGGGUUUCCGCCCAGGGCAACCCGUCGAACCUGAUCCGGGUAAUACCGGCGCAGGGAGCGUGGCCUUUCACGAAC
rnacentral:ncRNA from 2 species